UCUCUCUCUCUCUCUCUCUCUCUCUCUCUCUCUCUCUCUCUCUCUCUCUCUCUCUCUCUCUCUCUCUCUCUCUCUCUCUCUCUCUCUCUCUCUCUCUCUCUCUCUCUCUCUCUCUCUCUCUCUCUCUCUCUCUCUCUCUCUCUGUGUCUGUCUGUCUCAGUCUCUGUCUCUCUUUGUCUCUGUCUCUCUCUCUGUCUCUCAGGGAAAGGUUUGCAUCUAAACACAUAACGAGUUUUUUGUUGGGAAAUCUAAGUAUCGUUAGUUUUGUGGGUGGGACAUUUUUUAGCCUGAAAUCGUGAAAAAUGAGCAUCUGAGUACGACACUCUGGCAAUGGUGCAAGCAGCGUCACCAUAUUUUCGUACUCAGAACAUCGCAUUUUCCUGUUUCUGACCCGUAGCAAUUGCAAAUAAACAUCGAUAAUUAACCAUCUGAACUCUAAUUGUAAAUGUAUAUCGUUAUCAGUGUAGGCUCUACAGUUUUAGGCCUCAAACAGAAGAAAAAGUUAUGCCUAAUACGACAAUAUAGUACCGCUGGUUGUGAACUCGAGAGUCAGUCAGUGUCAGUCAACCACCAUCGAGGGAGGGUGUGCGGCCGUGCUCGUCCUCUUCCUCCACCACCUGAGUAUUCCGGGCGGGCAGUGAUGGGCAAGAAGAGACGCAACGCCUUUUUCUACUUCAUGAUGGCCAAGAAACCCGAGGUGGAGAAGCGGCUCAAGAGAAAGGUGGAGAUGGCCAAGCUGGUGACGGCGGAGUGACAGAUCGUGCAACUGAUGGAAGCUGGGAGAGGAAGUUGCUGAUAUGUGGCAAGUUACUAUUGUCUCUCAACCAUGAUUUCUACCAGUCUACCAUAAUCUACCAGGGUCUAACCACCACACAAUAUUCGCCCAACAUCCCUCUACCAGUCUACCACAAUCCAACCAUCAGUCAUCACAAGUUCAACCCAAAAACUCAACUUGUUCAAAACUUUUUCAACUCUGUAACCCCAAAAUUUCAACCCAAGACCUGACAUUCAACCACAAUUUCUACCACCACCACAAUCUACCGGGACCUAACCACCUUAUAUUUUUUCCGGGCUUUGGCUGACUGGCUGGCUGGUCACUCAGCAAGGGACUGGAAGCUGGAACUCUCUCACAAAAAAAAGUAGCGUAAAAGUGUAUAAGGUUCAUUGAAAAGGAGAGAGGGGGGGGGGGGGUUCAAAUAUAUCCAUGGUAAUAAUAAUAUUCAACUUUAUUUAUCUUCUCUUUUAUAUAACAACAGCUGAGAGAGAGAGAUCCAUCUCAUCCUCUCUCUCUCUCCCCAACAUCCAGGUGGCAUCUUGGGAGGGGAGGGGAAGAGAAGAGAAGGGAAGAAUACAAUAGCUCACUGGUGGACAGAGGAAAGAGAGAAAGGAGGAGGAGGAGGAAGAGUCCUUCAAUAGCUCACUGGUGGACAGAGGAAAGAGAGAUGAGGAAGAAGAGUAGGGUUAAAUAUAUCCGUUGUAACAUAUAUCUCCAAACUUUAAUAAUUAGUCUUCUCUUUAUAGAAAUACAGAGAGAGAGUUCCAUAUCCAUCUCUCUUUCUCUCUCUCAUCUCUGCCCUUCAAUUAAUCUCCCUCCAUCUUCCCCCAACAGGACUAGUCUCAUCUCAUCUUCCCCAGCAUCCAGGCAGCAUCUUGAAGGCAUGACUGGUUCCCUCGACUCAGUGGUCUCGUCUCUGUCUCCCUCCCUGCAAGAGUCUGGCAGAGUUUAGUGCCAAGUGUGUGUGUGUCUCUCUCUCUCUCUCUCUCUCUCUCUCUCUCAGCUCCCAGGCCCCACAGGUGUUCCUCCAGUGUGUUGACAACCCCCACAGACACAUGCCCCCCCAGACACAUAAGGGACCCCCCCCCCUCUCUCUCUCUCUCUCUGCAAGAAGUGUCAGUUUGCUCAAUAAAUAUACAAGCAAUUUCUGGUGUUUUUUUCGUCCAUUCUGCAAAGUUUACAAAGACACAGACCUUGAUAAAAGUGGAGAUAACAAGGAAACGAAGAGGAUGAGGAAGAGGAAAGAUUAAACUAUUUUUUGGCAUAGGAGGAAGAAAGGAAGGAAAAGGGAGAGAAAUGGAGUUGAACUUGGAGGAGGAAAUGAACAAAACCACUAAAAUUACGCUGGAGAAAUACACAGACCUUGAUAAAAGUGGAGAUAGGAGAGGAAUGAAAAGGAAGAGGAAGAAGCGGAAGACAGGAGGAGGAAGAGGAAAGAUUAAGCAAUUUUGGGGCAUAGGAGGAAAGGAGGAAGAGGUGGAGAAAAA